ACACCUCGUUUGAAUCUGUUGUGU
rnacentral:piRNA from 1 species